UACGGAGGGGACAAGCGUUGUUCGGAAUUACUGGGCGUAAAGCGCACGUAGGCGGCUUUGUAAGUCAGGGGUGAAAGCCUGGAGCUCAACUCCAGAACUGCCUUUGAGACUGCAUCGCUUGAAUCCGGGAGAGGUAAGUGGAAUUCCGAGUGUAGAGGUGAAAUUCGUAGAUAUUCGGAAGAACACCAGUGGCGAAGGCGGCUUACUGGACCGGGAUUGACGCUGAGGUGCGAAAGCGUGGGGAGCAAACAGG
rnacentral:rRNA from 1 species